rnacentral:rRNA from 1 species
AGAGUUUGAUCCUGGCUCAGGAUGAACGCUGGCGGCGUGCAUAACACAUGCAAGUCGAGCGAUCUUCUUCGGAAGAGAGCGGCGGACGGGUGAGUAACGCGUGGGUAACCUGCCCUGUACACACGGAUAACAUACCGAAAGGUAUGCUAAUACGAGAUAAUAUACUUUUAUCGCAUGGUAGAAGUAUCAAAGCUCUGGCGGUACAGGAUGGACCCGCGUCUGAUUAGCUAGUUGGUAAGGUAACGGCUUACCAAGGCGACGAUCAGUAGCCGACCUGAGAGGGUGAUCGGCCACAUUGGAACUGAGACACGGUCCAAACUCCUACGGGAGGCAGCAGUGGGGAAUAUUGCACAAUGGGCGAAAGCCUGAUGCAGCAACGCCGCGUGAGCGAUGAAGGCCUUCGGGUCGUAAAGCUCUGUCCUCAAGGAAGAUAAUGACGGUACUUGAGGAGGAAGCCCCGGCUAACUACGUGCCAGCAGCCGCGGUAAUACGUAGGGGGCUAGCGUUAUCCGGAAUUACUGGGCGUAAAGGGUGCGUAGGUGGUUUCUUAAGUCAGAGGUGAAAGGCUACGGCUCAACCGUAGUAAGCCUUUGAAACUGGGAAACUUGAGUGCAGGAGAGGAGAGUGGAAUUCCUAGUGUAGCGGUGAAAUGCGUAGAUAUUAGGAGGAACACCAGUUGCGAAGGCGGCUCUCUGGACUGUAACUGACACUGAGGCACGAAAGCGUGGGGAGCAAACAGGAUUAGAUACCCUGGUAGUCCACGCCGUAAACGAUGAGUACUAGCUGUCGGAGGUUACCCCCUUCGGUGGCGCAGCUAACGCAUUAAGUACUCCGCCUGGGAAGUACGCUCGCAAGAGUGAAACUCAAAGGAAUUGACG